UUGUGGGAUUUUCUCCUACUAUAUAAAGGAGUUGCUAUCAGCAUUUUGGAGGUUUUACGUCAUUUGCUUCCUAUUUGAAAACAUCUACUUUGUGUCUGUCUUUGCUUAACUGUAUGUUUCAGGUAAUCUUCAUGUUGAUUUUUGAGAGUUGCCCAACUGUUUUUUUGUUUUCAUCUCUUUUCACUAUGAGUUCUAGUCGUCAGUCUAAUGGCAAGGUCACUGAACCAUGAGGAUGACCGGAUGGAAUACGAGGAUGAUAACUGUAUUCCGGGGGUUGGUUCUGAGUCCGACUUUGAGGAUGAAGCCAGUUUCAUUCGAAGGAGGUUACAAGGAACUGUUAAUUCCAGUAAUCAGGGUGAAUCCUCUGCUGCUCAUUCUAGGUCUGGCUUUUCUAUUCUACAGCUACACGAUGAAACUAUGCCCAAGCAGUCUCCUGAGCCAAGGAGGACGAGGGCUGCAAUUGCCCAUCCGCGACAAGUGCUUCUACUCACCCCCGCCAAGCGAACUCUACUGCUUGCCCCUGCCAAGAAAAUGUGAGGUUGCAAGAUCUAAGUUCCAUAUUAUCCGAGCACGAUUUGGCAGGUAUUCGUGCUCAUUACCCCUUCCUUGAAGAAUAUCGAAUUAGGAUUUCUCCUUCCGAGAUGAGAGCAAAUGCUAGCCUUGACCAAAAAACUCUAAUUGCAUAUGCUGAGGAUUGCCGAGCGGGUGUAUGCUUUCAUCUUCAACGAAUUCUCUCCGAGUUCUGUAACGAGUGGGGAGUGACCAUCGGUCAGAUUGCUCCUAAUAGUAAUCAGAUGAUUUUAGGGGCUGCUAUUGUGGCUGAGCAGGAAGGUUUUGAGCUUAAUGUGCACCAGCUGCACAACAUGUUCAAUUUUGUUUAGUGGGGAAUCCAAGACCAUCCCCAUCUCACUGCUCGGAAAAUUAUAAUCUUUUCCCUUUGAAGAGCUCAUCACUUAAAGGGAGGUGGAAAGAGAAGUACUUCCUUAUCAGUUGUCCUCAAGGGUUUGGAUACCCUUCUCAUUGAGGUCAACUCCUCCUGCGUUGAGGCGUCCUCGAAUUUUUAGUGAUGUUGAGUCUUGGCAGAUCAAGAUCCUAAGACGCUAUGCUUGCAACCCUCCUCCUCUCUUUCCUUUGUUGGAUGCAAACAUCCCAUUGGGUCCUAGGGCUCGGGCCUCAAGAAAAAGGGGGGCACGAGAGACUGGGGGUAUAGCCCCAAAGUUAUAGAAAGAGAUGAAGAGUCGCCUAUCGGUGGAUCGGGAUCAGAGGUUGGCCAAUCGGUCUGGCCAGACUCCUAGAGGAAGCUCAAGUGCCCCUCAAACUGCUUUGAGGCAUUCUGGAGCUAUAGCAUCUCCUGUGCGCACUUUAGUAGUCAUGCCAUCUUCUGCUGAUAUCCCCCAUGUAGCUAUCUCUGAUCCCCUAGCAUAUCUUCCUAUCGGUCCGAAAACUAUCAAGCCUAAGAGAAGAGGAAAACGACAGCAAGGAGGUGAUGAUGAACCUCAUUCUCCCAUCUCGGAGAAGGGCUUAGAACUGCGAACCACCGUGAGGAGGAAGCAUGGAAAAGAUGCUUCAGUAAUGGUCGGGGAGGUAGCUUGGGCAUUAGCUAGUUAGUGCGUUCUCCUUACAAACUUGGCUCGUUUAGAAGGUUUGGGCGAGGAGUCAUUCCUAGACCAGAUUGAUAGCUGUCUUCUUAUUAUGUGCUCACAAUGAUACUCACCAGCGAAUGAGGGAGUCAGGGGAGUUGGUCACUCUUGAAGGCAGAGAAAGCUAAGUUUGAGAAGUUGGAGAAUUCCAUUCAGUCCCAAAUGAUAGAGCACAUUCGUUUGUGGGCGAAUUGGAGGAUAUGAUCCGAGCUAUUAUGGAUGUGCAACUUGACUCUUCUCUCAAGCUUAGUUCUCGAGUGGAACUGUUGGUCAAGCAAAAGGAGGAGGAUGCUGCGGUCAUUCACCAACUUCAGGUGGAUUUUGCCCGAGCAGAGGAUGCUGCUACUGAGGCCACUCGAUCUGUGAAUGACAUGUUGAUUCUUCAAUCUGAUCUGAUCCUGGCUGAGCUCAAAUUGCAGUUUCCCGAAGAGGAUUGGUUUUCGUUAACCAGAUCGAUGUAUAUCAGCAUUUGGAUGAUGAAGAGGAAGUGGCUGCAAAGGUGGAUGCCCAAGGGGAGGUUGCGCAAGGUUCAGUUGAAGGGGACCCGUGGUGCAGAACGUGUCUGAGGCUAUUGUACUGACCUGCCAGGAUUUGAAGUUGAGCCAUCCACACUUGUGCACGGGGUUGAGGAUCCAGUGGAGUAACUUUUUCUUUUCUUUAAUUCGGAAUGAAAGGGUUCGCUUUAAGAGAAUUUACCUGUUCCCUGUGUCUUUCUUUCUAUUGCAUUCUAUCUCAUCAUAUCACAUUCUGUUCUGGGAUAUUUGAGAAUCACUGUCAAUAACUCGGUGUAGGUAAGUCCGGUAUA